rnacentral:rRNA from 1 species
GUACACUCCUGCGGGAGGCAGCAGUGGGGAAUCUUGCGCAAUGGGCGAAAGCCUGACGCAGCCAUGCCGCGUGAAUGAUGAAGGUCUUAGGAUUGUAAAAUUCUUUCACCGGGGACGAUAAUGACGGUACCCGGAGAAGAAGCCCCGGCUAACUUCGUGCCAGCAGCCGCGGUAAUACGAAGGGGGCUAGCGUUGCUCGGAAUUACUGGGCGUAAAGGGAGCGUAGGCGGACAUUUAAGUCAGGGGUGAAAUCCCGGGGCUCAACCUCGGAAUUGCCUUUGAUACUGGGUGUCUUGAGUAUGAGAGAGGUGUGUGGAACUCCGAGUGUAGAGGUGAAAUUCGUAGAUAUUCGGAAGAACACCAGUGGCGAAGGCGACACACUGGCUCAUUACUGACGCUGAGGCUCGAAAGCGUGGGGAGCAAACAGGAUUAGAAACCCUGGUAGUCCCAUGAU